rnacentral:rRNA from 1 species
UACGGAGGGUGCAAGCGUUAUCCGGAUUUACUGGGUUUAAAGGGUGCGUAGGCGGGGUGGUAAGUCAGAGGUGAAAUGUCAUUGCUUAACGAUGGCCUUGCCUUUGAUACUGCCGUUCUUGAAAUAUGUUGAGGUUGGCGGAAUGUGACAUGUAGCGGUGAAAUGCUUAGAUAUGUCAUAGAACACCGAUUGCGAAGGCAGCUGACUGGACAUUAUUUGACGCUGAGGCACGAAAGCGUGGGGAUCAAACAGG